rnacentral:rRNA from 1 species
ACCCGCUGAACUUAAGCAUAUCAAUAAGCGGAGGAAAAGAAACCAACAGGGAUUGCCCUAGUAACGGCGAGUGAAGCGGCAACAGCUCAAAUUUGAAAUCUGGCUUCGGCCCGAGUUGUAAUUUGCAGAGGAAGCUUUAGGCGCGGCACCAACUGAGUCCCCUGGAACGGGGCGCCACAGAGGGUGAGAGCCCCGUAUAGUUGGACGCCUAGCCUGUGUAAAGCUCCUUCGACGAGUCGAGUAGUUUGGGAAUGCUGCUCAAAAUGAGAGGUAAAUUUCUUCUAAAGCUAAAUACCGGCCAGAGACCGAUAGCGCACAAGUAGAGUGAUCGAAAGAUGAAAAGCACUUUGAAAAGAGGGUUAAAUAGCACGUGAAAUUGUUGAAAGGGAAGCGCUUGUGACCAGACUUGCGCCCGGCUGAUCAUCCGGUGUUCUCACCGGUGCACUCUGCCGGGCUCAGGCCAGCAUCGGUUCUCGCGGGGGGAUAAAGGUCCUGGGAACGUAGCUCCUCCGGGAGUGUUAUAGCCCAGGGCGUCAUGCCCUCGCGGGGACCGAGGUUCGCGCAUCUGCAAGGAUGCUGGCGUAAUGGUCAUCAGCGACCCGUCUUGAAACACGG